GACCUCAUGGACGGGUCAGGCUGAGACUUUUAAUCCAUUGGUUCAGGGUUCGAGUCCCUGCGGGGUCA
rnacentral:tRNA from 1 species